AUUGAACGCUGGCGGCAUGCUUUACACAUGCAAGUCGAACGGUAGAGGGGGCAACCCCUUGAGAGUGGCGAACGGGUGAGUAAUGCAUCGGAACGUGCCCAGUCGUGGGGAUAACGCAGCGAAAGCUGUGCUAAUACCGCAUACGAUCUCUGGAUGAAAGCGGGGGACCGAAAGGCCUCGCGCGAUCGGAGCGGCCGAUGUCAGAUUAGGUAGUUGGUGGGGUAAAGGCUCACCAAGCCAACGAUCUGUAGCUGGUCUGAGAGGACGACCAGCCACACUGGGACUGAGACACGGCCCAGACUCCUACGGGAGGCAGCAGUGGGGAAUUUUGGACAAUGGGCGCAAGCCUGAUCCAGCAAUGCCGCGUGCAGGAAGAAGGCCUUCGGGUUGUAAACUGCUUUUGUACGGAACGAAAAGGUCUGGGUUAAUACCCUGGGCACAUGACGGUACCGUAAGAAUAAGCACCGGCUAACUACGUGCCAGCCGCCGCGGUAA
rnacentral:rRNA from 1 species